UGGGAAUAUUGCACAAUGGGCGCAAGCCUGAUGCAGCCAUGCCGCGUGUAUGAAGAAGGCCUUCGGGUUGUAAAGUACUUUCAGUCGGGAGGAAGGUGUCAAGGUUAAUAACCUUGGCAAUUGACGUUACCGACAGAAGAAGCACCGGCUAACUCCGUGCCAGCAGCCGCGGUAAUACGGAGGGUGCAAGCGUUAAUCGGAAUUACUGGGCGUAAAGCGCACGCAGGCGGUUGAUUGAGUCAGAUGUGAAAUCCCCGGGCUUAACCCGGGAAUUGCAUCUGAUACUGGUCAGCUAGAGUCUUGUAGAGGGGGGUAGAAUUCCAUGUGUAGCGGUGAAAUGCGUAGAGAUGUGGAGGAAUACCGGUGGCGAAGGCGGCCCCCUGGACAAAGACUGACGCUCAGGUGCGAAAGCGUGGGGAGCAAACAGG
rnacentral:rRNA from 1 species